AAACACCGCAAAACAUUAACAGGAAUGGGACGAUGAUGAUCGUUAUUAUGAAUGGGAUGACAAGAUUGAAAGUUUGAUUCUUGCAUAUGAUGAUGAGAGUCUUAUCUCAUUCAUGACAAGCCCGCCUUUUACAGAUGGCACAUCUACAUAUUCCACAUUCAUUCUUUUAAAAAAUAUAUAUGUAUUGUUGAGGCUGUGAAAUGUGCCACUGCAUUGCUGGAAGGGAGGUUGGGCAUAGAUCCAAAAAAUGUUAUAGACGGUUACCACCUGCUGCAUCAUGCCAUUAUGUUUUCAUCUUAUGACUUAGCUCAAUUGUUUCUUCACUACGGAGCUCGUAGGUACGAUGCGAUGACCCCGCUUGAACUAGCACUUUAUAAAGUGAGGUACAAAAUAAAAAAUGGUAAAAGAUUCGUGUAGUGGUUAUUGUUCCUAUUUUGGCAAUGUUUUUUUCUCCUUAACUCUGAUUUUUCCUUUUAUUUAUUUAUUUUAAAUUUAUUGUACUGAUUGAGCAGAACUACUCUAUGUAUGCUGUAUGAGUGUGGAGAACAAUCUGCUUUUGACUUGAUAGUAACACUUUGUCUUCCGACAAUACAUAUGUUUGGUUUUUAUUCUGAAGUUGAUGAGUGAGCUAAUAUAAUUUUCUUCUUCAAUUACUUGUUGCUGAGAGAGGCUUUGGCCAUGAACAAGUUGGCUGCAGGGUUCACCAGGGAUGUUGAAGAGUUAGCUUACCACCAUGCCAUGGAAGGAAAACUCAUUGAGUUGGCUGUCUUGCUGUUUGUGGCUCGAGAAAAGGUUUUGGUUCCCAUCACAUUUCAUGGAAAAGAUGGUGCUGUUUUAAAUGGGAGUAUGACAAUCCAUGAAUGUCUUAAAAAUCAAUUUGUGUCUCUAAUUAACGAGGAUAUUAUGGGUCAAGUUAAACAUGAGAAAUUAAAUCAAAUUCACAACAAGAAGGCAAUUAUGAAGUUAGCUAGUUUUUGAGAGGGCUGGUAAUAGUAUUGAGGAAUAUCAUCAGCUACAACUACAACAACCUGAUAUGGAUAUCUGAGCUUCCUCAUGUGGAUAUAAGCUGAUGUUUGUAAGUUGUUAAGGUGUAGAGAGAACACGUGGAGAAAGAUGUUGCUCUGAGGCUUGUGGAAGCAGGCUUUAACUUGAAGGCUAGAGACUUUGAUUUUAACAUUAGAGACUGGUUUGAGAGCCUAAUAUUUAACGUAUGAAUGUCUUUUCUGGAUUGUGUUUGUUUUUUUAACGUACAUUUAUUGAUCAUCCUUUGUGGUUCAGUAUAACUAAACUAUUAUGUCAUUGAAUGGCUAAUUGACACUUGGGAGUAGCUUUCUUUCUUGACAGGAUCGUUUCCUACGAUUCUGCAAUGACCUCUACCAAAUACAUAGAUACUCGAUUAGGUAAUUUAUUGAGUUCUAAUUGAAAUAAUCUAACUUCUACUUCAUAAGUAAUAAUGAAGAAAUACAAAUGGUAUGCGAGUUUCUGAUAUGUUUUCUUACAGAAGAUAAGUCAUCUCAAUUGUGGAGCCCUCACCUCAUUUGCCCAUGCAGCAGCAAACAAACGCUUUUUUUCCCCCAAGGAAAGAAAUACCUGGUGAUGGUAAUUAGUCAUCAGUCUCGACUACCUGUUUCGACAACACCUGUGCUUUAUCGUCUGUGGUGAAGUCAAAUAAUAAAAUUCAAGUCCCAAAAUCCAUCCCUGGUUCUCAGUAUUCUACAGGUUUGGAUGUUCAAGUGAAGAAGAGAAUGAAAGCAAUAGAACAUAAUGGGCCCAAAUGUUUGUCAAGGGAGAAGUUUGUGUAUACUGCAAUGUUGAUCAAGAGGGGAAUAAGAAUUGCUUGAAUCUUUUUGGGACCGGCUUUGGUGGUGCUUGAAGGACUUACAAAUCCAUAGAAUCUGGAAGACUACCUUCUCAAAUGAGAAGGCUUUUGCAACUGUAUGUAUUUAAAUCUGGAAGAUUACCUGCUCAAAUGUGAAGGCUUAUGCAUGUAUGCUUGUCUGCGCGUGUACAUGUGCGUUUGCUUUUUGAUGGAUCUUGAUGGAUCGAUGACAUUAUAACAAUGUAAAUUUUUUUUCCUUUCUCUUUUCUUCUAGUUCUAUAUUAAACUCUAUCCCCCAUUAGUAAUUAUCUUUUCUAAUCUUUUUAUGUGACCUUUGAUAAAUUUUCUGCAAUUAAGGAUGCUUAUAAUUUUCCCUUAUUUAUUUAUUUAUAAUUGGAGUUGAGGGUGAUGGAGUGCAAAUCCUGAUUAAUAAUGAUCUAAUUACAUAUAUAGAUGAC